UACGGGGGGGCAAGCGUUGUUCGGAAUUACUGGGCGUAAAGGGCUCGUAGGUGGCCAACUAAGUCAUACGUGAAAUCCCUCGGCUUAACCGGGGAACUGCGUCUGAUACUGGAUGGCUUGAGAUUGGGAGAGGGAUGCGGAAUUCCAGGUGUAGCGGUGAAAUGCGCAGAGUAUCAGGAGGAACACCGGUGGCGAAGGCGGGUCUCUGGGCCGAUACUGACGCUGAGGAGCGAAAGCGUGGGGAGCGAACAGGAUUAGACUACC
rnacentral:rRNA from 1 species